rnacentral:rRNA from 1 species
UACGUAGGGUGCAAGCGUUGUCCGGAAUUAUUGGGCGUAAAGAGCUCGUAGGCGGUUUGUCGCGUCGGGAGUGAAAACACUGGGCUUAACUCAGUGCUUGCUUCCGAUACGGGCAGACUAGAGGUAUGCAGGGGAGAACGGAAUUCCUGGUGUAGCGGUGAAAUGCGCAGAUAUCAGGAGGAACACCGGUGGCGAAGGCGGUUCUCUGGGCAUUACCUGACGCUGAGGAGCGAAAGUGUGGGGAGCGAACAGG